rnacentral:rRNA from 1 species
UACGGGGGAGCAAGCGUUGUUCGGAUUUACUGGGCGUAAAGGGCGCGUAGGCGGCCACCGCAAGUCAGUUGUGAAAGCUCUGGGCUUAACCCAGAAAGGUCAACUGAUACUGCGGGGCUAGAGUGCAGAAGGGGCAACUGGAAUUCUCGGUGUAGCGGUGAAAUGCGUAGAUAUCGAGAGGAACACCUGCGGCGAAGGCGGGUUGCUGGGCUGACACUGACGCUGAAGUGCGAAAGCUAGGGGAGCGAACGGG